AAUAGAUACCCAGGUAGUCCACGCCCUAAACGAUGUCGACUGGUUGUUGGGGGUUUGACACUCUCAGUAACGAAGCUAACGCGUGAAGUCGACCGCCUGGGGAGUACGGCCGCAAGGUUAAAACUCAAAGGAAUUGACGGGGACCCGCACAAGCGGUGGAUUAUGUGGAUUAAUUCGAUGCAACGCGAAAAACCUUACCUACCCUUGACAUGUCCGGAAGGCUGCUGAAAGGCGGCUGUGCCCGAAAGGGAACUGGAACACAGGUGCUGCAUGGCUGUCGUCAGCUCGUGUCGUGAGAUGUUGGGUUAAGUCCCGCAACGAGCGCAACCCUCGCCUUCAGUUGCCAGCAGGUUUGGCUGGGCACUCUGGAGGAACUGCCGGUGACAAGCCGGAGGAAGGUGGGGAUGACGUCAAGUCCUCAUGGCCCUUAUGGGCUGGGCUACACACGUGCUACAAUGGCGGUGACAAUGGGCAGCGAACCCGCGAGGGGGAGCUAAUCCCAAAAAGCCGUCUCAGUUCGGAUUGCACU
rnacentral:rRNA from 1 species